GGGACGGCGAUUUCUCGUUAUCGAUGGUUAAAAUUCAUUUGCCUCUUUCGUUCGUCAGCUGUGGCAGAGUGCACUUGAUUUUUAAUCAAACAGGGAAACGCAUGGAAUUUUAAUGGCCGCCACCCAUAUGUAUUAAUACUUGGCGAUUAAAUUCGGUUAAUUGGGGGAUUUCGCACCAAUUCGAGAAUGGAAUUUCACCCCUUCUCUCCAGUAGGAGGAUAUAGUUGCGUUGUUCUCCUUCAUUGUUGCUGCUGGUAAUUUUCCAUCGAGAACUGUUGCAUUCAUCGAUAAUUAGCUCUCUUAUUUAAAGAGGUUUUUUUUUAAAUUUUUUUUUUGGAAAUUCGGGAACUGAGCUCACUUCUCUGGAUGACAUCUCCUUUUAAAUAAAGGUAAGCGU